UACGUAGGGUGCGAGCGUUAUCCGGAAUUACUGGGCGUAAAGUGUGCGCAGGCGGCCGAGCAAGUCGAGUGUGAAAGCCCCGAGCUUAACUUGGGAACUGCGCUCGAAACUACUUGGCUAGAGUGUGGCAGAGGGAGGUGGAAUUCCACGUGUAGCGGUGAAAUGCGUAGAGAUGUGGAGGAACACCGAUGGCGAAGGCAGCCUCCUGGGCCAACACUGACGCUCAUGCACGAAAGCGUGGGGAGCAAACAGG
rnacentral:rRNA from 1 species